AUGUAUCCUAGGUCCAGAUUGGAGAUGAAGCAAAGGUUGAUGUCAACAGUAAAUUAAAACAGUUGAUUAAGGAGAUGGCUACAUAUAUGGUAACCUGUACUACAAAAGGCUUAUAUGGAAGUAUACUGGUCAAAAAGUUACAUUGAUGGUCUCAAACCAUUUAUUUUGGAGUGUAUAUUCAUUUCUUGGAUGAUGAUAGUCCAGUCACCACCCAUGGCACUGCACACUUGCGAAACUGGGUCAAGGUUUGACAAAAACUUCUACAGGGAAUACAUGACUUCCGGUCGUCUAGUCAGUUAUAUGGUAUGGCCGGCACUAUUAUUGGAUGAAGGUGGAGCUUUAGUUUGUAAAGGUGUUGCAGAAGGCACAAAAGUUCGAAUGGAGAAGAAGUGAUUGGUUGUUUCCUUUGUGUACGUAUUUAAGAGCAAGAUGCAUGAAGAACCUACAUAGAUAUACAUUCAGAAAAUGAUGCUUAUUCCAUAAAAUAUAUGAGUUUAGUUGUUAAACGCCAUGUCGUUUAGUGAUUGUAUUGUUUGUUCUGUUAUUAUAAAACAUUUCCGUCAUAGAUUUGACAAAACUUGACUCCUGUGCCCUUUGACUUUAUGGACCUACUGGUUAUUGUUGCUGGUUCGUGUGGGGGUAGCGUUCAUUGAACGCCGCCUUUCCUUGUUGAUCUUGUUUAUCAUAUUUAACUGAGAAGAAAACCUAGAAAUACAAACAGUAGAAUAAGAAACCAGAAAACAUGUAUUUCUUUCAUAUGACAAUUUAUUUAUAGUCGACUGGAAAACUAUUAAUAUUUUGAUUUAUACGCAUCUGAUUUGUAUUUCUUCAUUGUUUGAACCAUUAAAGGUGUUUUCUUGUAAUAAGCUGUACAGCCACACAGCCAUGUUUCAUCACACAAAAUCGUACUGAUAAGUUCCAGAAAACGGAAUCGAUAUUGGUUUUUAUUAGAUUUUUUAUUAUAUUGUAUCAUUUAUUUGGUUAUACUGUACAGUACUUUUGAACGUGCCAAUGUGCAUGAAAAAAGUGCGUAAGAAGUUUGGUAUAUAAUAAUAAUAAUAAUAAUUGUUAUAAUUAUGUUUGCAACAUAAAUGUUUAACUUUGUUA